rnacentral:rRNA from 1 species
AUUGAACGCUGGCGGCAGGCCUAACACAUGCAAGUCGAGCGGAUGACGGGAGCUUGCUCCUGGAUUCAGCGGCGGACGGGUGAGUAAUGCCUAGGAAUCUGCCUGGUAGUGGGGGACAACGUUUCGAAAGGAACGCUAAUACCGCAUACGUCCUACGGGAGAAAGCAGGGGACCUUCGGGCCUUGCGCUAUCAGAUGAGCCUAGGUCGGAUUAGCUUGUUGGUGAGGUAAUGGCUCACCAAGGCGACGAUCCGUAACUGGUCUGAGAGGAUGGUCAGUCACACUGGAACUGAGACACGGGCCAGACUCCUACGGGAGGCAGCAGUGGGGAAUAUUGGACAAUGGGCGAAAGCCUGAUCCAGCCAUGCCGCGUGUGUGAAGAAGGUCUUCGGAUUGUAAAGCACUUUAAGUUGGGAGGAAGGGCAGUAAGUUAAUACCUUGCUGUUUUGACGUUACCGACAGAAUAAGCACCGGCUAACUUCGUGCCAGCCGCCGCGGUAACAC